rnacentral:snRNA from 1 species
GUUCUCCCUCGGACAGCACAUAUGCUAAAUUGGAGCAAUACAGAGAAGAGUAGCAUGGCCCAUGUGCAAGAGUAACACACAAAUUCAUGAAGUGUUCCAUAUGAGA